GUCGUGCGCGCUUCGGUUCAGUGGGUCGGUUCGGGGGAGGUACGUGGCUGUUGCCUGGGAUUCUUUUCGUUUCGGGUUCGCUUCCGGUCUUCCCCUUCUCCCCUGUUUCCUUCCGCGAGGGGUUUCGUCUCCCGAAUCACUCUUUCUUCCGGCCGCUGCUACUGCUGCACCGGGAGCUGCUUUCGGCGGUGGCGCUGGUCUCGUCGUGGGUUGUCGACUCGGCCGUUCCUUCUCUUCUUCUCGCAGGUUCGCAUUGGAGGUUGAGACGGUGGGAUCUGUUUGAGGUUGGUUCUGUUAUGCUGUGUGCCCCGCCGUCGGUUGCUGGACUUCGCGUCGUCCGUCUGUGAGGUAUGCGCCGUUCUGCAGUGCUGCUGAGUUCUUCCAUAGUGUAUUUUGUCAUGCGCUUUGGUUCUGUGUGGGGUCUUUGGUUCGGGAUUUGUCUGGUCUGCCUCUUUCUGUUGUCUGUGUCUUAGCGUCCAUGGAUGGCGAGGUUUCUUCGAGUCAGGGCGGUCGGCGUCGCGCAUCGCAAGCUGCUGCGGGCGAGUCUUCUUCGGGCGGGCGUGGUCAUCGCCGUCCACCGGUUGCUGCGAGCGAUGGUUCUUCGCGAGAAAGCGCCUGUCGUUCUCCUCCCGCUGGCUUGCGUCGCAGUAAGUAAAGUUAAGAGGGAAAUGCUCCAACACAGAGCAGCUGUUACAAAACUAGAGCAAGAACAAAAGCAUACUCCAUGCACCGGGGGCAGAUCAAAGAGGAAGAGCAAUCAGACAACUUCCUCCACUUCAUGCACAGAAGCAGAUUUCCUCCAGGGGGCUGAAGCGGGCAAGCAGAUCAUGCAACUUCAGGCGAAUCAGGGAGCUUGGCAGGCCUCCAGAAGACCUCUCUCGGGAGGACAUCUGAAGCUCCAGGGAAGGCCCCGAGAUGCAGAGAGUGGAACAUCCCCCAGCAAGGGCAUCAUCCAUGAAGACGCUCAGGUCCGAAGGAGUAGUUGCCAAAGCUAGAGCUCUAUUCAUCUCCACGACAGUUGUACUGGCGCCUGGAGGCGACCAAUAGUGUGCUUGAUGAACUUGUCCAUCAGUGCCUGCAUAUGAUCUUUGUAAAGGAGAGACCAUUUGCGCAGAGAACGCAGGAUCAACCACCAGAUCUGUGUAAUAUCAGUCCAUGGUUUGUGAUUAAAAAUCAUAUCAUUGCGAAAUUUCUACAAAUUCCACAUGAUAGCAGCAUUAACAGUAUUCA